UGGGAAAGCUCAACUUUGAAAUCUGGCACCUUCGGUGUCCGAGUUGUAGUCUCAAGAAAAGUUUUCUGUGCCGGCCCGUGUAUGAGUCUGUUGGAACACAGCGUCAUAGAGGGUGACAACCCCGUUCAUGACACGGAUCCCGGUGCUUUGUGAUACUUUCUCGAAGAGUCGAGUUGUUUGGGAAUGCAGCUCAAAUUGGGUGGUAAAUUCCAUCUAAAGCUAAAUAUUGGCGAGAGACCGAUAGCAAACAAGUACCGUGAGGGAAAGAUGAAAAGCACUUUGGAAAGAGAGUUAACAGUACGUGAAAUUGUUGAAAGGGAAACGAUUGAAGUCAGACGUGCGUGAUGCGGUUCAGCUUUAGUUCGCUAGAGUGUACUCCGUAUCUUUGCAGGCCAACAUCGGUUUUGUUAGUCGGAUAAAGGUUAGAGAAAUGUGGCACCUUCGGGUGUGUUAUAGUCUCUGACUGAAUACGAUUGAUGGGACCGAGGAACGCAGCGCGCCGCAAGGCAAAGGUUCCGACCUUUUCGCGCUUAGGAUGUUGGUGAAAUGGCUUUAAACGACCCGUCUUGAAC
rnacentral:rRNA from 1 species